CCCUUAGAUGUCCUGGGCUGCACGCGCGCUACACUGAUGUGUCCAGUAAGCACCUAACCUCUUCCGAAAGGAACGGGUAACCUUUGCAAAGCACAUCGUGAUGGGGAUAGAUUAUUGCAAUUAUUAGUCUUGAACGAGGAAUUCCUAGUAAGCACAAGUCAUCAGCUUGUGUUGAUUACGUCCCUGCCCUUUGUACACACCGCCCGUCGCUCCUCCCGAUUGAAUGUUCCGGUGAGCUCUUCGGACUGCGCGGUCUGCAGUUUCUGCGUUCCGUGCGGAAAGUUGCGCAAACCUUAACAUUUAGAGGAAGGAGAAGUCGUAACA
rnacentral:rRNA from 1 species